rnacentral:lncRNA from 1 species
AUGACAGAGAUGAUGGUGAUUUCGCUGUUUAUGAAGGAAUCGAAGAGAGGCUUGCGCGGAGGAGAUUUUGGAGGUCGCGGCGAGUUGCGGUCGAGAAGAGGUGUGGCUCGGUUACAGAUGGUGUUUCUGGCGAAGAUGAAGGUUUUUCGGCGAGGAAGGGUUCUCCGGUCAAACUUGACGAAGGAGGAAGCCGUAGUAAAGCUUGAAGGCAUGGCAAAGUUGCUGCCAUCUUGA